GACGAACGCUGGCGGCGUGCUUAACACAUGCCAGUCGAACGGAAAGGCUCCAGCUUGCUGGAGUACUCGAGUGGCGAACGGGUGAGUAACACGUGGGUAAUCUGCCCUGCACUCUGGGAUAAGCCUGGGAAACUGGGUCUAAUACUGGAUAUGACCUUUCUCCUUAUGGGGUUUGGUGGAAAGUUUUUCGGUGUAGGAUGAGCCCGCGGCCUAUCAGCUUGUUGGUGGGGUGAUGGCCUACCAAGGCGACGACGGGUAGCCGGCCUGAGAGGGUGAUCGGCCACAUUGGGACUGAGAUACGGCCCAGACCCCUACGGGAGGCAGCAGUGGGGAAUAUUGCACAAUGGGCGGAAGCCUGAUGCAGCGACGCCGCGUGAGGGAUGACGGCCUUCGGGUUGUAAACCUCUUUCAGCAGGGACGAAGCGUAAGUGACGGUACCUGCAGAAGAAGCACCGGCUAACUAUGUG
rnacentral:rRNA from 1 species